GGGGCCGUAACGGUUUCGACGGGUUGGUGAAAGCCGCCCUGUGAUGCAGGUCGAGAGCGAACUCCCUCUCGUAAAUCAAGAGUUCAAAACAAAACGUAACUGCGAACAACAUCGUUCCUUUCGCUCGUAAAGCUGCACCUGUUGCUGCUUAAUCUUCAAACCGGCCCUCGGGCUAUUUAGGAUUAAAACGAGUAUUCAUUAGCUGACUCCGUUAAAGCUAAUGAAUAACCCCUAACGGAUAUGCCCGUGGCGUGCAUCUGGUCACAAAACGGUGCGAGAACCCUACUAGAGACUCCGUGCUCACCCGGAACAAUUGGUAGCUCCCGCCCUGAGGAUUAGAGGGGAUAAACCUGUGAAUGAGCAGAAGGUCAAUAGCCAGUUCGGACAGCAGUUCGACUCUGCUCGGCUCCACUC
rnacentral:tmRNA from 1 species